rnacentral:rRNA from 1 species
UACGUAGGGUGCAAGCGUUGUCCGGAAUUAUUGGGCGUAAAGAGCUCGUAGGCGGUUCGUCGCGUCGGCUGUGAAAACCUGAGGCUCGACCUCAGGCCUGCAGUCGAUACGGGCGGACUUGAGUACUGCAGGGGAGACUGGAAUUCCUGGUGUAGCGGUGAAAUGCGCAGAUAUCAGGAGGAACACCGGUGGCGAAGGCGGGUCUCUGGGCAGUAACUGACGCUGAGGAGCGAAAGCGUGGGGAGCGAACAGG